ACGCUCGACACCUACGGGGCAGCAGUGGGGAAUAUUGCACAAUGGGGGAAACCCUGAUGCAGCAACGCCGCGUGAAGGAAGACGGUUUUCGGAUUGUAAACUUCUGUUCUUAGUGAAGAUAGUGACGGUAGCUAAGGAGCAAGCCACGGCUAACUACGUGCAGCAGCCGCGGUAAUCUGAGCGGGCUGGCAAGGC
rnacentral:rRNA from 1 species